rnacentral:rRNA from 1 species
CUAUGCGCCUUGCCACGCCCGCUCAGAAACUUAAAGGAAUUGACGGGUCCCCGCACAAGCAGCGGAGCGUGUGGUUUAAUUCGUUGCUACACGAAGAACCUUACCUGGGUUUGACAUAGCAGUGGUAGAGAAGCGAAAGCGGACCGACCCUUCGGGGAGCUGUUACAGGUGUUGCAUGGCUGUCGUCAGCUCGUGUCGUGAGAUGUUCGGUUAAGUCCGCUAACGAGCGCAACCCGCGUUGUGUGUUACAAGUGUCACACAAUACCGCCGGUAUUAAGUCGGAGGAAGGUGCGGAUGACGUCAAGUCAGCAUGACCUUUAUAUCCAGGGCUACACACACGCUACAAUGGUCGGCACAAUAGGUUGCCAAGUCGUGAGACGGAGCCAAUCCUCCAAAGCCGGCCUCAGUUCAGAUUGCAGGCUGCAACUCGCCUGCAUGAAGUUGGAGUUGCUAGUAAACGCAGGUCAGCUAUACUGCGUUGAAUACGUUCCCGGGGAUU